GAACGCAAAUUGACUAAAGCCAAAAGCUUUUACAAUUGUAAUGCCAUUAGUUGCCAUCAAAAUGCGAUUUGUAUUGUAUGUGUCUGUGUGUGUCUGUGUGUGUCUGUGUGUGUGUGUGUGUGUGUUAUAUUUCAUGUUUUUCAGCUAAUUAGCACGUAAACUGCGCCCACAUGGCGGCUUUGGCUAAUUGUUCCGUCUUCACUCUUACUUGUUUGCUUUCAGGUUUAGUGCUCUAUUAUUUUUUUUGGGUUUUAGUUUUGCAACCUGCGCCGUAGUCAUUCGGUUUCCGCCGCUUCCUGUGGGGCGGCCGACAGCGUCGUCAUUGGUCCGGACUUAUUUUUCGAUAAUAAUAUGUUACAUGUCUGGGCCCGGGUCUCACCUGCACUAGCGCAUGGCUCUGGCUCGUUGGCUCUGCGGUUUCGAAAACUAAUUUGCGUGAUUAUUAAAUUCGAGUAUCUGUGGCUGAGCGCUCGUUCCGGCCACGUUGGCUGGGUUGAGUGAAAAGUUUUUAGGACCGGUCGUUAGAUAGGCUGUCAGCACACAAGAAGAUUUAGUUGUUGGCAACUUCAUUAGAUGCCAAUUAGUUGGAUAACUUCAUCGAUCAUCGGCAGACAGUCGCUGAGUUAAUUAACUAGAUUUUUAUGCCAUCGACGCUUAAUUAAAUUCGCGCAAUGCAAUUCCCGCUCAAUCGAUUGGAAUAACUUUUCUUUUGCAUGCUAAACUCAAUUAUGAAAUCAUAAUUUUAAACAUAUAUGAUGUAUGAAAAUAAUUAUUUGCAUUUCUUAUUUUGAUUUGCGUAUACUGAAUAUUGUCCGAAUUAAGUAUACGUUAGAUUGACGUAUGCUCAAUGCUGAAUUAUUCAUAGAUUAAUAUAAUAUACAGAUAUACAGGUAAAAUUUUAAGGCGAAGUAUUGUUAUAUGAAUAAUCGACUGUGACUUCAAUUAAUCGCAGCCCCAUCGCAAAGUAAUCGAUUAUUUUGUAUCAUAUAAUCAAUCGUGCCAUCACUAAAAAUCAUUUGUCUCAAAUCAAUUCGAUAUUCGUUCGUAUGUCUAAUUUUUACACAAUCACCAAAGACUCUCGGAGCGUGAAUACAAUUUCAUUUGUUUGGGCUGUCAGCUUAAAGUCUAAUUAGCUUUUACCUUGUGGCAUGCCACACCCACUAACCGCAAGCCGAAGCUCAACCCCAAAAGUUAACUUUGAAGCUUAAUUUCCAUUUCGCUCAUCCUCAUUGCCAUAAAGUAAUACAUCAUUGGCGCUCUGAUUUCACCGGAUCUGACGAAAAACUUAAGCCAGCCGACAGAAUGUAAGAAAAAACCUGGAAGAAGAAGAGGAAGCAGCUGGAAAAAGUCUAAGGUGUUAGCCACCUUCUGUUUUAUGUGCGCGCGCUAUAGUCACAGUCGGAGUCGACAUUUUACGGCUGCCGUUGCUGCCGAUAACAGCAUGCGAGCGGUAAUGAGUUUUAAGGGGCGUGGCACGUUUGCGGGCGCCCCAAUGAAAAACAAAACGCUUCUAAAUAAUUCAAAGCUAAAGUAAGGUCUGCAGAAAAAGUUUAGCUGCGUAAUAAUAGUAGAUUCAUUUGGGUGUGUGUGCGACUUACAGAAUACCCUGUAAUGUGGAGGCAUAUUUUGGAGACUUUUCAUAAAUGGAAUUAAAUAUAUUAACGAACUAAUAAUAAACAUUGUUCAAUUGCUAAACUA